UGACACCUGUAGCCAUGAUGUGUCCCAAUAUUUAUGUCCACAUAGUUUAUAAACAUCAAUAUUUUAUUAAAGUUUAAUGGGAGAUGUGAAGACAGUAGAUGGUUCGUUGUGGUACAAAAUAAUUAUUUACAGUCAGAGCAGGAAAAAUAUUUUAGAAAUUUAGAGGUAGAACAUUUAAAAUUAUAGUCAUGGAUAAAAAAAA